AAAAAACCACGACCAGACAUCGAAAGACGAUGAAUGGGAAGAGAAACCACGACCAGACGCCAACGGACGAAUGGGAAAGACUCAACCAGACAUCAACGGAUGAAUGGGAGAAAGAAACCACGACUAGACAUCGAAAGACGAUGAAUGGGAAGAGAAACCACGACCAGACGCCAACGGACGAAUGGGAAAAGAGAAAUCACGACUAUACAUCAACGGAC
rnacentral:lncRNA from 1 species